rnacentral:rRNA from 1 species
GACAGAGGAGGCAAGCGUUGUCCGGACUGACUGGGCGUAAAGCGUCCGCAGGUGGUCGUGCAAGUGCGCUGUGAAAGCGGCCCGCUCAACGGGCCGAGGCCAGCGCAGACUGCGCGACUCGAGGUCGGGAGAGGUCGGUGGAAUUGCCGGUGUAGUGGUGAAAUGCGUAGAGAUCGGGCAGGAACACCCAAGGGGGAACGCCAGCCGACUGGCCCGCACCUGACACUCAGGGACGAAAGCAUGGGGAGCAAACAGG